UGUUCGAGCGUCAUUUCAACCCUCAAGCGUAGCUUGGUCUUGGGCGCGGUCUGCGGACCCGGCCACAAACCCGUUGGCGGUACCGUCUAGCUUCAAGCGUAGUAGAACUAUCUCGCUUUAGGAGCCGAAGGCGGCGCUGGCCAGACAAACGUCACCUAGAGUUUGACCUCGGAUCAGGUAGGGAUACCCGCUGAACUUAA
rnacentral:misc_RNA from 1 species